GCCGCGAUGGCGGAAUUGGUAGACGCGCUAGACUCAAAAUCUGGUGUCCUUACGGAUGUGCCGGUUCAAGUCCGGCUCGCGGUACCA
rnacentral:tRNA from 1 species